rnacentral:rRNA from 1 species
GACGAACGCUGGCGGCAUGCCUAACACAUGCGAGUCGAACGAGACCUCCGGGCCUAGUGGCGCACGGGGGCGUAACGCGGGGGAACCUGCACUUAGGUACGGAAUAACUGCCUGAGAGGGGUGCUAAUGCCGGAUAGUGUCAUCGGACCUAAGAUUUAUUGCUUCUGGGUGGGCCCGCGUUGGUUUAGGUAGUUGGGAGGGUAAAAGCCUGCCAAGGCGGCGAUCCAGGGCUGGUCGGAGAGGAUGCUCAGCAGCACUGGGACGCGGACACGGCCCCGACUCGUACGGGAGGCAGCAGAGGGGAAUAUUGGACAAGGGGCGAAAGCCUGAUCCAGCAAGGCCGCGUGAGUGAUGAAGGCCUUAGGGUUGUAAAGCUCUUUUACCCGGGAUGAUAAUGACAGUACCGGGAGAAUAAGCUCCGGCAACCUCCGG